AUACUCUGGUUUCCUUUUAAAAUGAUUCAAUCUUUUGUCUUUUUCCUAAAGAUUUCUGUAGAGAUGAACAACCAUGAGUUUUGGCGAUUUUUUUGAUGCCUGGCUAAUGCUGGGCU